rnacentral:rRNA from 1 species
UACGUAGGGUGCAGGCGUUAAUCGGAAUUACUGGGCGUAAAGCGUGCGCAGGCGGUUUGUUAAGACAGGUGUGAAAUCCCCGAGCUCAACUUGGGAAUGGCGCGUUGUUACUGGCAAGCUAGAGUGUGUCAGAGGGAGGUAGAAUUCCACGUGUAGCAGUGAAAUGCGUAGAGAUGUGGAGGAAUACCGAUGGCGAAGGCAGCCUCCUGGGGAUAACACUGACGCUCGAUGC